rnacentral:lncRNA from 10 species
AUGUUCAAUUUCACAGACUUUAUUGACAAAGUAGAACUAUAUAGUUUUUCCAAUGCCCAACUGUAUCAAUCAGGACCAGCUAGGGAAUUAAUGCUACAGCAACAACCUCCAAAUCACAGUGGCUUAAGAUGCAAAUGUUAAUUCCUCAUUUCAAAUCCUACCAUGAGCUGGCUCCUCAUUGCAUGCUGCUUUGUUUAGCUCCACCAUAAGAAUUUCUCAUCAUAAGAAUCUCUUUGGUCAAAAAAUCAAGACCAUGCGGGUCAACAUGGUGAAACCCCGUCUCUACUAAAAACACAAAAAUUGGCUGGGCAGGGUGGUGCGUACCUGUAAUCCCAGCUGCUCAGGAGGUGGAUGCAGGAGAAUUGCUAGAACCUGGGAGGCGGAGGUUGCAGUGAGCCGAGAUCGCGUCAUUGCCCUCCAGCCUGGCAACAGGGUGAGACUUCGUAUAAAAAAAAAAACAAAAAAAACUUCACGGUUGUGGCUUGGCUUGGGGAGAAGGGUGUGCAGAGUUGCACAAUGACCCUCAAAAGCCUCCACCCUGAGGUGACCCAUAUCACUUCUGCUCAUACAUUAUUGCUCAAAGGAAGCCACUUGAACACAGCUCAUUCAACAGGCAGCAAACGUGAUCUUCCAGACACCCAGGAAGGGCAGGAGAAACCUUGAAUGCAGGACCUUGAAAGUCCUUUGGGCCCUAGUGUGUCUGGAAUUGGUGGUUCUUGGUCUCACUGAUUUCAAGAAUGAAGCUGCGGACCCUCGCGGUGAGUGUUGCAGUGAGUGUUACAGUUCUUAAAGAUAGUGAGUCCUGAGUUCGUUCCUUCUGAUGUUCAGACGUGUUAGGAGUUUCUUCCUUCUGCUGGGUUUGUGGUCUCGCUGGUUUCAGAAGUUAAGCUGCAGACCUUCGCGGUGAGUGUUACAACUCUUAAGGUGUCGCUGGAGUUGCUCCUUCCUCCUGUCCGGAGUUGUUCAUUCCUCCUGGUAGGUUCCUGGUCUCACUGGCCUCAGGAGUGAAACUGCAGACCUUCACGAUGAAUGUUACAGCUCAUAAAGGCAGUGCUGUCCCAAAGAGUGAACAACAGCAAGAUUUCUUGCAAACAGCAAAAGAACAAAGCUUCCACUGUGUAAAACGGGACCCGGGAGGAUUGCUGCUGCCAGCUUGGGCAGCC